rnacentral:rRNA from 1 species
GAUGAACGCUGGCGGCGUGCCUAAUACAUGCAAGUCGAGCGAACAGACGAGGAGCUUGCUCCUCUGACGUUAGCGGCGGGCGGGUGAGUAACACGUGGAUAACCUACCUAUAAGACUGGGAUAACUUCGGGAAACCGGAGCUAAUACCGGAUAAUAUAUUGAACCGCAUGGUUCAAUAGUGAAAGACGGUUUUGCUGUCACUUAUAGAUGGAUCCGCGCCGCAUUAGCUAGUUGGUAAGGUAACGGUUUACCAAGGCAACGAUGCGUAGCCGACCUGAGAGGGUGAUCGGCCACACUGGAACUGAGACACGGUCCAGACUCCUACGGGAGGCAGCAGUAGGGAAUCUUCCGCAAUGGGCGAAAGCUUGACGGAGCAACGCCGCGUGAGUGAUGAAGGUCUUCGGAUCGUAAAACUCUGUUAUUAGGGAAGAACAAAUGUGUAAGUAACUAUGCACGUCUUGACGGUACCUAAUCAGAAAGCCACGGCUAACUACGUG